rnacentral:rRNA from 1 species
GACGAACGCUGGCGGCGUGCUUAACACAUGCAAGUCGAACGGAAAGGCCCUGCUUUUGUUGGGUUCUCGUGUGGCGAACGGGUGUGUAACACGUGAGUAACCUGCCCUUGACUUUGUGAUAUCUUCAGGAAACUGCGGCUAUUACCGGAUAUGAUCUCCUGCUGCAUGUUGUGCGUUGGAGAGUUUCGGCGGUUGGGGAUGGACUCGCGGCUUAUCAGCUUGUUGGUCGGGUAGUGGCUGACCAAGGGUUUGACGGGUAGCCGGCCUGAGAGGGUGACCGGCCACAAUGGGACUGAGAGACGGCGCAGAAUCGAACGGGAGGCAGCAGGGGGGAGUAUGGCACAAUGGGCGGAAGCGUGAUGCAGCAACGCCGCGAGCGGGAUGACGGGCUUCGGGUUAAAAACAGAUUUCGACUGUGACGAAGAGUGAGUGACGGUAAUGGGUGAAGAAGCACCGGCUAACUACGUG